GAUGAACGCUAGCUACAGGCUUAACACAUGCAAGUCGAGGGACCGGCGCACGGGUGAGUAACACGUAUCCAACCUGCCCUUUACUCGGGGAUAGCCUUUCGAAAGGAAGAUUAAUACCCGAUGUUAAGGAUGGGGAUGCGUUUCAUUAGGUUGUUGGUGAGGUAACGGCUCACCAAGCCUUCGAUGGAUAGGGGUUCUGAGAGGAAGGUCCCCCACGUGGGAACUGAGGCCCGGUCCAAACUCCUAGGGGAGGCAGCAGUGAGUAAUAUAGGUCAAUGGGCGUUAGCCUGAACCAGCCAAGUAGCGUGAAGGAUGAAGGGUUAUGGGUCGUAAACUUCUUUUAUAUAAGAAGAGGUAUUAUAUGAAUAAGGAUCGGCUAACUCCGUGCCAGCAGCCGCGGUAAUUC
rnacentral:rRNA from 1 species